GACUGUGUGGUGUAGUGGUUUGAGUGUUGGACUACGUCUCUGGAGACCAGGGUUCGAUUCUCAGCUCGCUCA